UGGCUUUGGCAGCCCCAUAUCCGAAAGUUGGACGGAUAUAGAGAAGCAUGGUCCCUGCGCAAGGAUGACAGGCAAAUUCAUGAAGGGUUCCAUAUUGAA
ensembl:snRNA U6 U6 spliceosomal RNA